CUAUCCUUGAAAUCUCUUUUGGUGUGACAAGUGCAUUCAGCAAAUCACACACUCUUUGACGUUUGCUUUCCUGAUUACUCAUAUGGGCAAAAGUUUCUGAAAAGGUAAGGAUAAUAGUGUUAAGUAUGAGUAUGGCAUCAGUAUAUGCUAGGUUUCGAAACAAUUGACUUAGUGCCUCCUGAGAAAAAGCAACUUAACCUUCAUUGUAAAUUUUGCUUCCUCACCCUGUAUAUGUGCGUAUCUGUGGGAUUGUGAAUGUUA